UGUUGGCGUCUACCGAUUCUAAAGCAUCUUACUAUGAGUUCAGAACUGCAAAUCUCAUCUCAUCAUCUCUUCUCUGAAGUUUAUUCCUUAAAUCUUUCAGUGAAAACUACCAAAUAAUUUCCCGUCUCCAAGGCCGGGAACCUUCUAAUAAUUCCAUCCCUCCUUUUAUCUCUGCAGCCCCAGAUUUCUCAUUGCUCCACGGCUCUGCGCUGCCAUUGCUCUGCGUUCACCUCUGGGAGGCAGUGUUCACAGUGAUGGCAAAUUUCAGUCACGCCCUUGCUGUCCCAUCCUCCUGCUUCUUUUUGACUCCAUGACAAUCCGUGGCUCCCAGCAAAAAUCUAGCUGCCUCUGCUUGUCCUUCGAAGCAAAAUACGUUGUCCCCUUCCAGCUCUCACUGUCCCUUUGUGUCUCUGCCCGCUCUGUGCUUGUGGACCCCUCCUCCUAGAAUGCCCUCCCUCUCUUCCUCUUCUGGUCUUCAUUGAGCUACUCACACUGGCUGGUUUAGCCCCUCCUUCCUGCCCUUUCCCCAACCAUGGCACCCAUACUGGCCCAUCCCUCAUUUCGGACCUGCCGUAGUCCCACCGGGGUCCAUGGGAAGGCUCUCUGACUUCCUCAGCUAGAUUAGCUCCCCCUCCCGAAUCUCAUACUGUCCUUAUUUUCCCACAGUGACUCGCACGAGCCUGGACUUUAGAGCAGGUGCUUCACGUUCACUGAUGGAUCUGGACCAUGAUGUUGCUGGGUUGCACCGAGAUGCGAGGUAAACACCGUGUUUGCUGAUAUUUUUUCAUGGUUUAUGUUCUUGGCUUUUGCAAGUCCCCUGGUUCCAUUUGCCACAAAUUGAAAGUGAGGCAGGCAUGCUCUUCCUGGGGGGACGCUGGUGGAUUAUGGUAGAUGAGCAUCCCCAGGGCUCCGUUGGGACAUGUCUUCCCAGGUGCUGUGGGGGACUGGAAAAGGAGGCAGUUGGCCACAGGCUAAGUUCAGAGGUCAGCAGAGCAAGGCCACUGCAGCCAGGCAGUCCCCGCAGUCCUCCCAGCCAGGUUUUCCUUUGCUCCAACCUGGAAGUUCUGCGUGGGAUCCCUGAGAGAUGGGUACGUGGAAGGGCAAAGGAAAGCGGCAGAAUGUCUGUUACCAUUGCCUGGGGACUGGACCCCGCCGUCCUGUGGAAUCUGCAGUCCUGCUGGCCCGGGAAGACUUUGGAUUUGCCUUCCAGAGAGGACUGCCUACGUGAAGCAAUGCUCCCCUUCCGCCUCGUGCAAAUCUCCAGUCUCAACAUUGACCAAAAGAAGGCUGCAGAGGAGAGUGAGACAUGGGAAUCCAGUGUGGGACUCCCCCCGUCUGUGCCACAGGUGGGGCAGGAGCGGGCCGGGCGAGCAUCAGUGGAGCAGCGGGGGUUCAGCCUGCGGUGGGUGACAGGGGUGAGAGGGUGCAGGAACAGGCCAGGGAUGCUACUCAGCCAGGGUCUGCCGAGGUACAGGGACACAGGAUGAAACUCGCCAUGUCCGAAGGCUGGCGAGCACAGCCACAUUUUGAGGCACAGUGUCUCUCAGAAGGACCUAGAGCACAGGCAUCUUGGAACAAAAUGGUCAUUUUAUGUCGGCUCCCAGCUGUUGUGUGCUCAAUGAGCUAUAGUGGCCAUGGCCUCUCACCGUCAGAAAUCCUAUUUUCAGAAAGAAGUUAAAAAAUAGUCAGUAGAAGGGAACAAAGUAUUGUCACGGAAAUGACCAGCUCUGAAAGUUUGGGAGUUCACAGCAGUGAGAGGGGAAGACAUCAGUUUGGAAUAAUUUUCAGCGACUGGGGACAUAUUCCUUUGGGAAGGGCUAGUGAUCUCGUCAGGGGACGCUCCCUGCUGCACUCUGGGCACAGUUAACAGUCCCUGUUAACCGUGAGCUCCUAGAACACAGAACUCCGUGGCACUCAGCCAUUCCUUCCCCUUAGCCAUUUCUCCCUAGGUCUCCCUACCUCCAGCCCCGUCUUGUCUGUCCUGCUGAAGUCAAGAUUUCCUGGUGGUUAGAGAGGCCCCUCCGCCACGGAGGGCACUGUUCUCCCAAAGUCUAAAGGGUGGCCGACCGCAGGGUCUUGAGCACAUCUGGUGCCUGGUCACCACACACACGUUCUCCACUCGGCUUUUAAUCCUCCUACAACAUCCAGUGGGAGGAAAAUGCCUUGUUUGCUAAGAUCAUGGAAUGUGCCAACCUUAUGUUGGCCUGAGUGAUGCCAAGGGAGGCCGAGUCUCUUUGGAGGUCUGUGUUGGAUAGCUUGGAGUGACAGAAGCUGGUGUCCUCUGAGCUCCGGGCACCAGCACGUGGGCAGGUUGACACACUGGAAGGGCAGCCUGCUCUGGAGGUCAUGGUGCACGGCCAUCAUCCCCUGCCUGUGCUUUCUCUCUUAGCAUGAACGAUGCUGAUUCACUGCAGUUAAAGCUCAGACUUCCUGAUGGACAGGCAGUGAGCACGACUGGGCCCCGUGUCAUCACCAGCUCCUGGAGCAGGCGCUUAACACGCACGGGGGGAGGGGCAGUUCCAAAAGUGCCCUGGACAUUUGUAAAAUAGGUGCUCUACGCCCAUCUUAACCAGGCAGCCUGCGACCCUGCAGAUGGCUCUGCUAAGCAUGAAUCAGGCCACGGAGGCACUUUUAUUUGCUAUAAUUUUCUUUGAGGUUGAAUGUUCAUAAUGAUUUAUUUCGGUAGUUAGCUAAAAUAUUUGCAUCCUAUUUAGACAGAGGAAUAGAGAGGGCAGCCUUCUGGACAUUGAAGGAUGGAAAUGGGGGGAUUGAGCUGCAGAAAAAAAGAAUGUAUCAUCAGCCAAGUAGAAAGCCAGAAUUUGGUAGAGACUAAUUAAUCGUGACUCAACUUUGUCCUAACAUCCUUGAAGACAUCAGGCAUUAAUGUCCUUUCUCUCCUUCGAAGAAUCUCCUGAAAAAUUUAAGUGAGGGAGGGGUGGACUAAAUUAGGGUUCUCUUGAACACCACGAAGGAAAUCCAUCAUCAAAGCUGGGGCUGCGUCAUUUCUCAGCCUCAUUCUAGAGGCUAGCUCCAAAAAAUCAGUUUUGUGUCAUGAAGGAUGGCUUUUUUAAAACCAGGGAACUUGUGAAGAGUGUUCUCGGUGGAGAGUCGGCUGAGAAUAACAAACACUGGUUUAUUUCCAGACCCCACCCAGGCGGGUCACAGGGUCAUUCCCUCCCAGCACGUCUAUUCUGAGUCCCCCUUGUCCCCGGACGCUGCCAUCUUUGGAGUCAUACAUCAUCACAGUGAGGCGCUCCUGUAAUGUAUUGUGCUAAUCCAUUGCGGGAAGGACAGCGCCGAUGAUAAAUGUUUUAAAUGAUGGUGCUGUCGGAGGCUAAUGACUCCAAGAGCAAAUGCAAGGUAAGUGGGGAUUGCUUUCCAGGCCCCGUGAGGAAUGCAGAAGAUGUCCCUAAGCCAUUUCCACCCCGGGGCAGUAUUGAAAGAGGUGGCUGCCUGAGAGGCCUUUGUCACCUGCACUUGGGCAGUUAGGGCAAGCAGAAGGGUCUUUUCAGAUAAAAGCCAUCUCCCUCCUUGGGGCUAGCUUUUGUUGCUGUUGAUUAGUUGAUGGAUUGAUUUUUGUGUUAGGCAGCUAAAAAGCACCUGAAGAAGUUGUUUGACGGAAAGCAGACUGAGCACUGGUGUUAGGUUCUCAUCACUGUGACCAAAAUCCCUAAUAAGAACAACUUAGAGGAGGACAACUUUAUUGUGAGCUCAUAGUUUUGGAGGUCCAAUCUGUGGCUGGCUGAUUCCACUGCUGUGUACGGGCCAUGAGGCAGAACAAUAUGGCGGGAGGGAAGAGUGGAGGGAAGCUACUCAGCUCAUGGUAGGGUCAGGAGAGAGAGAGAGAGAGAGGAAGGACCAGGUACCACAGGGAAGACACACCCUUCCAGGUCAGCCCCCAGUGACCCACCUCCUCUGCCUCUAGCACCACCUGGUCCUUCCAUUCACCUGCAAUGAAUGGAUUAGGUUUCAGCUCUCACAGUCCAAUCAUCUCACCUCUGAAUUUUCCUGCAUGGACACAGGAGCUGUGGGGGGGACAUCGGGUGUCCAGAUCAUACAGCAGCUGAGGCUCUGCCCUCUCCUGGAGAGAAUGGGGGCCUGUGCUUCUUAGAACACGCACCGUUUCCUAGGCGCUCCUUGCUUGGUGCAGGAGACGUGUUCCUGCUGUUCCCACUGUCCCUGUGAUUUCAACCAGAGGGACAGACUGACUGGCAGGAUCUGUGACUGGAAGUCUGUUGUCCAGGCAGAAGUUUUGUGGGUGGAUGACAAAUUCCUGUCUACGCCGCAGAUCUGUGCCUCAUGCAUGCCCAGGAGAUGCCUGGGUGUUCAUUAGUAGGGAAAAAGUGACCCUAGGGUGGAGAACGUGGGAGGAAACAUUUAGUGGACGAUUUUGGAGGAAGUCAUCCCUUCGACGUGUGGUGUCGUUUCUUUCUGCUUAAGAUAGCAAAAGCCCCUGCGGCAGCAUCUAGUCCUCAGGGAUGGAGCCUCUCUGGACAGUGACUUUCUCAUUCCUUUUUUAAUUUUAUUAUUCUUAUUUUUUUUUUUAUUACCAGGGCUUGAACCCGUGGCUGCUUUACCAUGGAGCUACAUCUCCAGCCCUUUUUAUUUUUUAUUUCCAGACAGGGUCUCCUUAAGUUACUUAGGGCCUUGCUAAGUAGCAGAGGCUUGCGAUCCUCCUGCCUCAGCCUCCCGACCUGCUGGGAUUACAGACACGUGUCACCCUGUCUGAUGACUUUCUCGUUGCUUAGGCAUAGCCACAAAAAAGACGUGUCUCAUGCUUUUCCUGGGAGAAAACAUAAGUACAGAUAUCACCUACGCUCCUGGUGCUCAGGUAGCUGACAGUGAGACUGUAUUGUGCUUGGUCAGCCACUGGCCCUGUGCUCUCAGGCCUUGCCACCAAAGCCAAGUAGGCACAGGAGAGGGUGGGUCACUUGGAGAGGGAGGGUCACUUGCUCCAGGCAACAGGGUAGGUCCAGCUUUUGAACCCAAUGACUCCCAGCCCUGUGCUAACCCGUCCUACUCACUGCAGGCUCCUGUGUUUUAAAACGAGUCCUGUGUUUCCUGCCCCCUCAAGGUGUCCUGAGCCAGCAUCUUGUUGUAAACUGGGUUUGGAAGUAAAUAAUCUCACUGUAUGACAACACAUUCCACCUAUCCUUUUCAGCCAAGUUUGUAUACGGUCGAAGUCAAAUCUUUCCUCUUCAGCCAGGUGCAAUAUCAAUGCUGAGAUUUUUUUUUUAUUUAAAGAGAGAGAGAGAGAAUUUUUAAAUAUUAUUUUUCAGUUUUCGGUGGACACAACAUCUUUAUUUUAUUUUUAUGUGGUACUUAGGAUAGAACCCAGCGCCGUGCGCUUGCCAGACGAGCGUGUUGCCGCUUGAGCCAUAUCCCCAGCCCCAAUGCUGAGAUCUUUUUUAAAAAGAAAUCCAUUACUCUCCAUCUUUGUUCAAGGAAUGAGACUGGUCUACACUGUGAUUUAGCCUAAUGUCACUUCAAUGGUUUUGGUCUCUGCUGAGAGCCAGAGUAGUGGCUCCAGAGUCUUCAUUUCACCAGAGGGUAUAUGAUGUUUCCACUAACUCUCUCUUAAUUUCUUGAUGAAAAUAGCUAUUUGUUGAGCUAGGUUCCUUGAGAUGUAACUUUAACUUCUUUGAAGAAGACUCUUGGGUUGGAAUCCUUGCUCCUGGCUGUCUGGGUGCGGACUGCAUUAGAAAUCAUUAGAAAUACUCUUUUUUUUUUCCUUGUCCAUUAUCUGACAGGUUCUCACUUCAGUUUUCUUGAAUAUAUAUUUAUUCUGUCUCCCUCAACAGUGGAGAAAAUUAAAUGAGCUAAAUUUUGGUUUGUGCUCGAUGGAAUAUUUAUCACGUACAAGUGCCAAGAAGAGGGAAAAAUGAAUGACAAUAUAAAAUUUUAUUUGUUUUUUGGCCAUUAAGCUGGCCCAAAUGUGAGUGAGAAAAAUAAAAUCAUAACUACCAGUGUUAGAUACCAAUUCAAGGUUUAUAAACUCUUUUCAUUUAACACAUUACUUAUUUAUCGUCCUGUUUCUACUUACCAAUUUUCUUUAUGUUAGAAGGAUCCCCUAGGCUACCACAGAGACACCAGCACCCUAUUUAGUCCUCCCCUCCCUCACUUAUAUUUUUCUGAGGGAGAGAAAGGACAUUAGCGCCUGACAUCUUCAAGGAUAUUAGGACAAAGUUGAGCCUCCACUCUGCGAAGAUAAUCAGAGACUGUGGGAGUGUACCUCACCUCUCCCUGUAGCAGAUGGCUAAUAUUUUCAGGUCACAGAACCACGGCUAGGUCCUGACCCUAUGUCAUGCUUUCUCUUAUGUGUGGCAUGAAAUACUAGGACCGGGAGCUAAACAACAAUCGUAUUUGUAAUAUCUGAACUUUAAAAAAAACAGAGUGUUUAAAUGACAUUGGAAAACACUCUAACAAAAAUCAUGUUCUGUGCAGUAUUGAAAAAAUCAUUUCUCUCUGCAGAGAGCAGAUGAACCAAGCUUUCUAAAAUUUAUUCUUUGAAAAUGAUUCACUGGGACUAAUAAGAGGAACCCUCACAGAUAUGUCAAUUGAUUAUCGACACAGGUAUGAGAUUAUUCAAUGGGGACAGUUAUUUCAACAAACGGUGCUGGUAAAAUUUAAUAUGCACACGCGGAACAAGGAAGCUAGACUCUGACCUUGAACCGCAUGCCAAAGUGCUUGAAAGCCCUAAAUUUAAGAGCUAACGUAUAAAAACUAUUAGAAGAAAACACAGAGGCAAGUCUUUAUCACUUGGAUUUGGCAGUGAUUUGUUGCAUAGAACACCAAAAGAACAGGCAGCAAAAGAAAAAAAAAAUAGAUAAAUUUUUAUCAACAUUUGGAGCAUUUGUUCAGCAAAGAUACUAUCAAAGAAUGAAAAAAACCCCACAGGAUAGGGAAACUAUUUGCAGAUUGUAUGUCUGAUAGGGGAUUCAUAUUAGAAUGUAUAAAUACCUUUAUCAUUUACAGCAACAAAACGCCAUCCAAUUAUAAAGUGACCAGGGACUUGAGCUGUUUUGACACAGAAGACAGACAGAUGGCCAGCUAGCACAUGAACUACAGCUAGGCUAGGCGUUGUUGGUCACUAGGGAGAUGCAAAUAGCACCGCAGUGAGACACCUCUUCAUGUCCAUUAGGUCGGCCAUUAUAUAAAAAGAAAGAAAAAGAAAAAACAGUUGUUGGCAGGGAUGCAGGGAAAUUGGAACCCUUGUGCAGAGCUGUGGAAUGGCUGGGCAGCUCCUUAGAACGUCAAACAAGGAGCCACCACGUGACCCAGCCCUUCCACUCGAAUGUACCUGUCCCGAGGAACUCAAGCAGGACGCAGGCACCUCGUACAAGUGUUCAGGGCAGCAUUGUUCACAGAACCCAGAGGUGAGACAACCCAGUGUUCACCAGUAGAAGAAGGGGUAAGCAACACGCAGCAAAGACACAUAGUGGAAUACUAUUCAGCCACUGAAAGGAACGGAAUUCCAAUACAUAUGACAAGAGACCCUGAAAGCAUGCAGAGGGACAUAAGGUGUACACAAAGUGAGGGACCCAACACAGGCCACCCCCAGAGGUAGAAAGGAGAACAGGGUCAUGGGGAGGGGUAGAGAGGACGCCAAGUUAUUAUCCAUGUGUGUAGAGUCUCCUUGGGGGAUGAUGAGAAAGUUCUGGAAAUAGUGGUGAUAGAUGCACAAUAUUGUGAAUAGACUCCGUGCCACUGAAUUGUGUUUUUAAGAUGAUAAAUGUCACAAUAUCUAGAUCUAUACAGGACACCCAGCAAGGAGUUAAAUACUGCUAGAACACAAAAGGCUAGGUAAGAACUGAAGUGUAGUAGCUGUGGCUCGGGAUCACAGUGGCUAUCAGUUUUAACAGAGGGCAAACCUCUCUGCAGGGGAAAUCCUCAUUUUGGGUGGGUGCAUAGUUAGUGGGAUCUUGGGUAGCUUUACUAAAAGAGUGAAAUUGACUUUGAGAGAGAGUUUGAUUAUGAGACGUUACAACAUCGUAGGCUGAUGGAACUGGAGAUGGCACAAGGGCUCCUCAUAACAAUUAGGACCACGAUCCCGGUGCCAGGCACGCUGUCUGUCCUCAUCCAGGAAUUGCUGGGUGGCAUGCGUAACGUGAUCCGAGGGCAACGCUGCACGAGCAUUUUCACUGUGGAGACUGCCACAGGUUGUGUCUGCCACAGUUGUGUGUGCGGUGCAUAUUCUCAGCCACGGGUUCUAUGAGACGGGAAACUAAUGCAGACUGGCACACUCCAUCAAAGGCUCUGGAAUUCUAUUUUAAAUGUAUAGGAAUUUGGGAACAUGAUUCUUUUAGGGAUGAGAGCUGUCUAGAAUUAGGACAAGGCCUUUAUUUUGAUCAGUCAAUUAACGUUUCCAGACUGCCCCUCUGAACAGCCAGCUGAAUUUGUAUUGAAUUUAUGUCAGAGUACAUCAGGCAAAUGGGGAGCCGCACAUGGGGAAAAAAAGUCUUUCAAAUUAAUUUGAAUAAGACUAGAGGAGAAAAAAUAUAGUCCCUUGCUUAAAUUCUUUUAAAGGUAACUUUGUAUCGAUUAAGUUUAUAGCAACAAAGAUUUAAAAAUAUAAUAACCAUGUAUUGAAUGGCAAUUUUAUAUACAGGUACACACAUUGGAAAUUCCUUUAGCCUGGAGAAUUUAGCUCUCUUUGUCUCUUAUUACUUUUUAAAUUACAAGGGCCAGGAAGGAAACAAAUUUAGCAUUUUGAAUUGAAUCAACAGUUCUUGGUCCCAGAUUUGACAGGGCUGCAAAUCUUAGACUUCAUAUUAACAAGCUGGUAUCUUAUAUGUGUGUAAACUGUUUGCACUAGCUGUGCAGUAUCACGGAAUGGCUUAGGAAACACUUUAUGGAUUGAUGAAUUUGAUGAGCACUUGAGGCACUGUAGUCUGGGCCGGCCGCUCCGCUUGCAAAGUUUAUAUUAACAAUAUAUAGCUGUCACCUCUUCAUUCCACACAUUUCAAGGAACACAGAUGGCAGAGUGGUUCAGCAUGGCAAAGCACUACGUUGGUGUAUAAAAGCUGACCAUAGACAGAAAACAGGUUAGAGUUGAUCAAAUAAUUUGACAAUCAUAGUCACCAAAUAAUAAGUGACAACUUUGGCUGCUUUUUGGAAUUAUAUGCUAAUACAGACAUCUAUAAGAGCCAGAAGAAAAUGCUUACGUUGGAAUUCCUCCAUGGUGGGUGUGUGGGUGCUGUGAACUUAGGGCACCCCUGGUGUGCAGAGAGCAAGUGCCACCAAAAGUUGACUUCUAGGCUGGGGUGUAGCCCUGCGGUACAGCAGAGCCCAGCAUGCACAAAGCCUUUGGUUCAAUCCCUGGUACUGGCAAAAAAGCAAAAUCAAAACAAGAUGGUGAAACCCCCCGCUCCUUGGUGCUUGGUCCUACGUUGUUAAGCAGGUCGUAGGAUACAAAUAUAUCCAACAUCUAUUGCUGUAACAUUGCCAAGAACUUAGCCACUUCCAAUACCAAUGACCUCAGUUACGGGACUUGGACGGCUUGGAAGGCUUGGUGAGGUUUUGUGCUUAGGGUCUCCGAAGUUCAACCUUAGGGUAUUACCUUGUUGCUGUCUUACUGGAGGUUCUGGGAAGAAUUCUCUCGAGGCUCCUCCAGGUUACUGGCAGAAUUCAGACUGUGCUGUCGAAGGUCUGGUGGCCUUGUUCCCUGCGGGCUGUGGCCAGCGGGCAGCUCUUGGCCCCUCAGGGCUGCCUGUGUACCUUGUCACGUGCCCCCAGCCCAUUUUAAGCCAGGUGUAGCAAACUGGGUGCUUUUCAUGUUCAAGUCUGACUUUUACUACUAACCAGAGAAAGUGCUCGUUUUCUUUUUUUUUUUUUCUUUUCUCUCUUUCUUUUUGUGUUGGGGACCAAUCCCGGGGCCUCAUGCAUACUCCGCAAAUGGUCUACCACUUAGCCACACCCCAACCACAGACACUCUGCUUUUGAGAAUUUAUAUGAUCACAUUUGGGGCACAUAGAUAGUCUCCCAGGCCUCAGGCCAGUUGAUCGGCCACCUUGAUAUCUGCCUGUGAAGUCCCUUCAUAGCAACCCCUAGGUCAGGGCUCCAUGGAUCACCAGGAACUGGGAAUCCUGGGUGACCAUUCUCAGAUCCUGCCUAACAUUAUUCUGCAACUACUUUGCAGCUCCAGGAAUUCUCAGCGUGGCCUGGUGGCCGCUGGGAAAUAAGUCCGUCAGUGCUCAGCCAGACCGCCACAGCUUCUCUUCCUCCUUACUGUUCACGUCGGCCUUUUAAAGAGAAUAGGUUGGCAUGGCCUGUUUAACAGGUAAUAUACCUGGCCAAAUAAGUGAAGUGGAAUAAAAAUUAAAAUGCAGAAUAAGAGCAGAAGCUGGGGAGGAGUCUGGGAAAAGGAUAUAUCCAAAAUAGUGUUGGAGAAAGUUAAAAUUAAACAAGCCAAAGUUAGGUGUGAAAGGUAGGCCUUCUUCAGAUACACUGGUUUAUUUAUUAUUUACUUAAGAAACAAUUUUUAAAGAAAGGCUGGCAAAGGAGCCCAAUAUUGAAAAUUCAAAAAGGAAGAGAGGCUUAGUUGAAACAGGGAAAGGGCCCAAUAGUCCCGGAUUCUCAGCUCGUUUAUAUUUCUCUUUUCUAUGAAGAGGUUUUUGGGGUCCCUAGAUUAUGGGGGAGCCCAGCGUGGAGACCCCUGGGACAGAGACGAGGACUUGUCACGUCUCUGCUGCCAGCGUCCUGCUGGGCUCCUCUCUGGUGGGUGGACGAGCCCCCACUCACUUCCGCGUCUCCAAGGGUGUCACUCUCAGAUCUGGGGUUUUGUUCUGGUUAGUGUCCUCCUGACUCAGCCACAGUGUUGGGUUAAAGGUGGGCACGUGACCCGAUUCUGACCAGCAGGGGAGAUCUGGGACUUGCUCUAGCUCCCCAGGAAAGCCUGUCUUGCUCCCGCACUGGUGUGUGAAGUUUCUUGUUUGUGGUGGUGUUUGUUGGUUCCCUUCAGGGGUCAUUAAAGGAUUCUUUGAGGAUCUUGACAUGAGAUGGUUUAUAUACUUGAGCAUCCUGGGCCUCCCAUACAACUUUAGAAUGAAGAUCCAGGAGCCUGUUAUUUCUUAGAGCUGCAGGUGCAGAGACUGAUGGGCCACUGCAGUGGAAAGGUAGAAGCCAAUGAAAUUCUCUCAAAGCCUGAUUUGCAGACUGGUCUCUUGGGGCCCCGUGCUCAGAUGAAGUCUUUGGCCCAGAGGAAGUCGAGUGAGUAGGGGGCAGUUUUCAAACGAAGACGUGAAACUGGCCUCAGAGAAGCCUCCUUUGUAACGGAGCACGUGUAGAUGAGGUGGACACCGAGGCUGGCCAGGAGGAGGGUGCUGAAAGGGCACAGAGGCUCCAGGGACGGGUAUGGACAAUGAUCUGGUGCCUGGAGGCAGAGCCUGAGUAGGGGGUGUGGACCUGUUGCAUGGGAUUGUUGAGGGGCAGCCGACUGGGACCACCCUGUGAGUGGGAGAAGACACAGAACAGGCGAGAGGAGAAAGCCAGGCAAGCAGAGGAUCUCUUGAGACCUCUUCUCAGCUGAGCCACAAAUAUGGGGGACUCCUAAGCCCAAGCCGCACCACUGACUUGUGCUCUUUGGGACCCUUUGUUUUCAUUUAUUUUUUUGCACUACUAGUGAGUGGACCCAGGGCCUUGCACGUGCUAGGCAAGCACCCUCACACCCAGCCACAUCCCCAGCCCUUUUCUGACCCUUUAAAUUCUGUAUCAGUUAAUUGUUGUCCAUUUGGAUGGGGAGGGCUGGGGGUAAACUCUAACAGCUAGGGACUGGGGCUUUAGCUCAGUGGCAGAGAGCAUGUGUGAGGCACUAGGUUUGAUCCUCAGCACCACGUAUAAAUGAACAAAUAAAAUAAAGGCAUUCUGUCCAUCUACAACUAUGAGAAAUAAUUUUUAAAAAGUUAAAAUUCUAAUGGCUAAAUUUUUGUGCCAAUUUGGAGGAUGUUUUUUGAAAUGAAAUUUACAUUUAAGGUGAGAAACUUCAAGUAAAAUAAGUUGUCCUCCAUAUUAGGGGGUGAGCCUCAUCUGACCAGGUGGGUACAAACAGACUGGCCUCCUCGGCAGGAGGGACUUCUCCUGCAGAUGGCUCUUGGACCUGCUCUAUGUCACCAGCUUUCCUGGGCGUCCAGCCUACGGGUUCACACUGAAGAUCUGGACCUGUGGCGUGCACAGUCACACUGUGUGACCCAUUCCUUCUAAUAAAUCUCUUUAUAUAUGCACACCCACGUACACACCCCCCCACCCACACGCACACACGCACACACACACACACUCGGUACAGUGUCUCUGAAGAACCCUGACUAACACACAUUCCAGUAGCCUGUCUCUGGGAAGUGGCUCCUGUCACCAGGGAUGAGUCUUCUCCAGAGGUGACAGGUGAGUGACAGGGUCCCAGAAGAGAGAGGGAAACGUGGUGGAUAGUGGUCUGCUUCUGAGAGCACACAUUGGAGAUCCCUUUUUUGCAGUGGAGGACCCUGUAGGGGUAGUUGAGAAUUGAAUUUAUUUUCAUUGUGAGGUGAGUUUAUGGUCCUGCACAAAUUCCUCCUCAAUAUGUUGUCGGUUCUCGCAAAGCUCCUUUCGUCAACCGUUGAUCGGCAUGGCGGCGUGGCAUGGAGAUCUAAACUCCGUAGGCUUUAAAUCAAAGAUAUACGAUCAGACCCCGGCUCCCCAUUUACCAGCCAAGUAACCUUUGCACAGGUGACUUCAUUUCUGGGUUUUGGGUCAAUAUCUGUAAGAGAACGAUGACAACAGAAAUAUUGUGAAGAUGACAUUGAAAGUUGGUCUCACACACGGAAGGCUCCCCUCUAAAAUAAGAUACAAAGAAGGCAGCUAAACGGCACAGGGAAUGCCAAGCUGCCUCGCGCCAGGCGGUGCGUUCGGUAUCUUGAAAGCAUCACCAGGUUAAACUCUCAUAACUGUUCUCAGAGCUGGAUAUCAUUCAACCCCGUUUCCUAACGAGGACUGAGGUACAGAAAGGUUAGUACCCAUGCCCCCAGUUUCCCAGCGUGGGAUGUAAAGGAGCCGGCCUCUGUAGAGAACAGCAGGCUGAGGUACGGUUCCAGGAGCUUGGAAAGCGUGAGAUCUUGCUGCAGGGAUCUCUAACGCCAGGCCGAGGCUUCGGGCCUCCUUGGCCCUGGCAUGCUGUGAUGGGGGAAGUGAGGGGGUAGGUAGGACACAGGUGGAAGGGUCGCCGUUGUACCCAGAGUCUGAUGUGGCCGCCCUACCUGGUGCUGUUCUCCACUGCCUGCCAAUCGUCUCAAAUUGCAUGGUGGUUUGGGGAAGUGGGUAAAUAGAAUCCAGGGCCAAGUCGGGCUUCUCCGCUUCCUUGUGGUAUGUCAUAAUCAAGAUGCAAAUCAGCGUCUCCUGGGUGGAAAAGAUCAUAAACGGGAAACGUGCUGCACCUCGGAGUUUUCACAGAUUUCAGUCAUUUGGUCCAAAUCCAGAAACUGUCUUGAGAGAAUAAAAAGGCUGCAGAAUGGGAACUGAGGAGGACUGCUGAGCCCGUAGCCAGCUACUUUGCCAGGACCAGAGGCGUUUAAUUUUCAUGGUCUUGCAGUAAAUUUAAAGGCAAAUUAUAAAAGUAAGACUCAGUUUUGGUAAGGCUCCAGUUUAUGUGUAUCAGGCUUCUAACUAGACCAUGGGGGCUGCUGGUGAAAGUUUAGAUUUAAAGACCUUCACAAAAGUGUCCUGUGUGGAAAUCUCUAGCACUUUUGGAAUUCCCAAUGAUUCCCAAUGACGUCCCAUGGCACACUCCUCAGCCUCACAUCAGCCAGGGCAUUGGAAAGUGGGGUGUGGCUGGUGGUGGAAAGUCAUGUUUUUAAGGGGUCAGUGCAAAAGUUAGGGACCAAAUCAUUUUGCCUAAUGUAUUUAGGGAACUCAGUGUCUGUUUCCACAUUCAAAUGAUAGUUGCUUAAUUGCACACUGUGCCUGGUAGGGGAAAUUGAGGCCUGCAGGAGAGGUGGUCUGCGUGGUGAUGAGGAUCUUUGAGCCUCAGUUCCUUUAUGUGCAGCACAUGGGUAUUAAUGAUUAUCUCGUCAUGCUUGUGAAACCCGUGGUAAUGUUGCUGGCAUGUAUGAAGUGCUCAGGCUGCAAAGCUAAUGUAAUUAUUAACUGGAAAAAAGUUGUCAGUUCCAGGAUGAACGAAAAUUGUUGGUCAUGCAUGACACUGAGGAGAAGGGCAGUCUGCAGGCUCUGAAACUGGGCCGUGGUGGACCGUGGUGGCUGGGCCCGUGGUGUUGAGGUAAGGUCGCAUGUCCAAGGAGGAGAAGAGGAGGUCCCAUCUACCCUAAGCUGCUUCAGGCACAGAAAAGGCUCAGGUAAGUCUGGUGGUGAGCUGGGUUCUGGGUUCUCAGCUGAUGCACACACCCCUCAUCUGAGGGUCCAAAUAAGCAGCUUAGGAAGAGAAACUGGAUCCCUGUAUUCCCACAGACCAACCUGUGAGUACAAAUCCAGGGCUUGAGAUCUCAUUGGAGAGUCUGUGUUAUUUAAAUUUCUGAAGUGAGCCCUUCUCGUGUGACUUCAAGCUAAUGUCUCGUCUAUUGGAAUGAGCUCUGGCAGUGGUGCCCCCAAAGCCACCCUGAGCACCCCACUGCUCUCCACCCACAGAGCAGACAUCAGAAGCCAACAAAUUCUACCAGACUUUUGUUGCUGACACAGAAUUCGAGUUUGUUUUAUUUACUUUUUUUUUUUAACUUGGGGGGGGGAAGGCAUUUCUGAGAGACGGUGGACAUGAUAACGUGACGGGGGCCAGAGAUCCUCGAUGGCAGCCUGCUGCGCUGGAGUCUCAUCUUCUUUUCCUCCGGACCACCCCUCCCGCUUGCUCAGCAGACAGGCUAGGUGCAGAGGUUGAGCUGUGGAUCUCAUUUCUUGUGUUUUGCUGCUUGUGAAGUCUGCCAACAGAAUCCACCUUGACAAAGUCAAGGACUGUGCGUUUAAUGUUGAACUGAGUGAAUAAAUUAUGCAUGAAAUUGUGCCGGAGUCUCUAGUGUGCAGAAUUGCUCCUUUUGAUAUGAAAGGUUAAUUCAGAAAGGAGUCCAGAAUAGCUGGAAAUUGUGGGGAUAAGUGGAGAGUAUUCACUGUUGUGAGCUGUUAUUACUAGAAAUUGCAUUCCCUCUCUGGCUUCCCCGGAGAUUUUGCUUUGCCAGUGAAUAUAAACUGUGCUCAAUAGAAUAGCAUUUAGGAGUAACAAGAGUGUAUGUCCACACACAAUAAAAUAUUCUAAUGGCGUUUUAAAGAGAAGUUGUACUUUUUCAUGUAUAUCGUGCCCCCCAAGGAAGAAUUUCUAUUGCAUUUAGGUCAAGAACAAGGUACAUCAGAAGUAAUGAGUUUUGAGCAUGUAUGUAUUUCAAGGGGCUGCCUGGGACUCCCGUUUUGCAGCCGGGGCUGGUCCUGCCACUGAUUAGCUAUGCGAGCCUGGUUUCUGAUAAAGCCCAAAGCAUCCUUGCCUCGGGAAGGAAACAACCCAAAUUGUUUUAUCACCAAAUCCUACAUACCCAGCUCCGAUUUAAUCUUCAGUAAGUGUAUGGCGCUCUUCAACCUGUUUCGCUCAGGUUGAUGUCCUUUUUACACAUAUCCCAGAUCACUUUUAGGUUAGUUCAUUAUUUCCAGCAAGGGGGAAAAAAUGGAGUUGGCUAGAAAGCUGAAUUUUACUUAAAAUACACACACACAUAUUUUUGGAGCUUGUUAGAGGCUCCUCUUUGUGUUCCCAUCACCAGGGAACAGCAUUGUGCUUCCAGACUGUGGGCGGUGUUUAUUUUUGUCUCUUAUGUACAUGCUCAGAAACCAUCUCCUUAAUCUCCACAGGGUACCGGGAGUUUUUUCUCUAAUUAUAAAGUGGUAUCCUUUCUGACCCGGGGUAGUUUUUAAUUUUAAUUCCUGCCUCGUGUUUAUAAACUGCUGGAUUGCAUUAUCCUGUUGGGAUCCUCGAAAACUCUCUCUCUUUUGUGUUGAUUUUAACAAUUAGAUAUUCAUUCUAUGUAUUAAGAUGUGUUUGAGGCCAACCAAAGAUGUGUUUUUGAUGUCGAUUCUUUCUCCUCCUGUGUUUCCCUUAUCUAUAUAUUUUAGGUGGAAAUGAAACUUUAAAAACUCCAGAUUACCUUUGAAACUAAAAAGCCUGGGUACUAUUAAACAUGCAACCAAAGUUAGAGUAAAGAAUUUGAUCCAAUUACCUUUAUUUAGGUUUUUUUUUUUUUUUGUCUUGCUUUCCAAAUGUUUGUAUAGCAAAAGAUAUGUAAAUCUUGGCAUAGGGAAGAUAUUCCUGUACGUUCCGUCAGAUGCUGGAUUAAAAUAAAUAGUUGCUCCAACAUCAAGGUGCCUGCAAGUUCUUUUAAAAAUGUUAUUUGUUACUUUAUGGUAUUUCUAAGGAGUGUUUAAAAUGACUAAUCCUCAGCCUACUCAUUAAUGCCAUGUGUAUUAAGUUUCUUCUCUCUGCUGCCUGUGACUCAUGAGUUGGCCCUGGACGGCAAAUUGGCAAAAUAGCUCCAUGUCCCUGGAAACGUUUCGAGGUGCACAGUGAAAAUAGGUUGUGCCUUGGGGGCUGCAGAGAUUCAGUUCAGGUGGACCUGGAUCCUUCGGCUGCCAGAAGUCAAGAAUUCAGUCACAGGCCCAAUAUGGAAUUGUGCUUAACAUUCCAACGAUUAUAGAGGUGUCUGCCCCUGUGAUGUUAUAUUCUGAGUAUUUAAAAAUAUUUUGGGCAAACCAAACACGCAUCUUUUAUGUAGAUUCAAAUGCCUUCCGCAGAUCAAACUAAAAAGUCAUUGAAUCAGCAACUUUGUCGCAUUGAGAACAGGUAUCAAAGGCAGUGAAGAGGCGGCUGCUGCCUGAUUAGAAUUUACACACUCCGCAAGACCAACCACAGGGUGGAGGUUUUCAUACCCUGGUGUCAUGCACAGGGACUCACAUGCCAAAGUGGAAGAAAAACAAGUUCUUUUAAGAGAUUUUCACUCUCGCGCCUAUAUAUAUAUCCAUUAAAGAAAUAAAUGUCACUAUUUCACGUAGAAAAUAUAUGAUUUUGCAUAUAAAACAAAAAUCUUAAAUGUUUUAUGUUCUUUUAAAUAUGUUUGGCAUAAUUUUAAUUAAAUUCAAAUGUUUUAUAUGAUUUUAAAUAAAAUAUUUAAAAUAUGCUAUUUAAAUCGUAUAGUGUAUUUAAGUAUGCUCUUUAAAUGUUUUAUUUAAAUCUAGUGACAGAAUGUUCACUUUUAGCCCAGACAUUUUUGCAAGUAAAGAAUCACCCAGAGAAACAAUUUAGAAGCAAAUGGAGACUCUUUUCCACAAGUAAUUAAUACAUUUAAAAGCAGGUUUGAAGUCAUUAGUUAAGCAAGAGAAUCAAUCUCUUUUAAAAGCUUCCCAUCCCUGGAGGCCCAUUCAGUGGUGCACACCUGCUCUCCCGCAGUCCUGCGCCCUGCCUGGCACCAUGGACAUUUUCUUUAUCCACCCCCCCUCCACCUCUUGCUCCAGGGGCGUGAUAACAUAUUUUCAAGACUAGAUACAUAUUUUCUUAAAAAUUUAUACUCUCCCUCCGUCCCACGACAUCCAAGAGCAUCGUGCUUACAUUUCUCAUUAUGUAAAAUGAAGUUGGGAUUGAAAUUACAUAGCAAAUGCCCAUCAGUUGAAUACCCUGUUUGUGACAUAUCAGGCGCAGAGAAUUUUCCGCCAUCACUAAGCACAGAGUCGGGUCUCGGAUGCUGGCAGGUCACCUUGGGAGAACCUGGGAGUUCUCUAGCUCUUCUUCAAGUCGUACAAAUGAUCCCUUUCAACCGUUAAUGAUCUUUCCUUUUGGUAAGUUUUCCCCGUCGAAAGACAACUCCACAGAAGCUUAUGUAACUUCACCAGGAAAAAGUCGCUCUUGUCCAGAGGAGAUUUAUCUUUUUUUGACCAUCAUUUGGGGGUGAGAGAAAAGGCAAUUUUUAAAAUGUGAGUAAGCUCUAAGAAAAAUAUUAUGAGAGGACUUUGCUGGUAUACUGCCGGCUUGCGUUAGCGUCCAUUUUCUUGGGAAAGAUGUUUCAUUUUAGCAAGAUCCUCCCGCUGAAAGAAAAUUAAUUUUUUCUCCUUUUCGGCACAGCUUCAAUCCUUUUUCUGUUUCCCUUCACAGUGGAUGAAGUGAUCUAAGUGGAAAACACACAUUCUUUUUGAAAGAACAAAUUUAUUGGUGAGUGUGACCAACAAAAAUAAUUGAAGUUUUUUUAAAAAAAAAAUGGAAGGUAAGUGUUGGUUGCAUAUCUUCUUGGUGGACCUCUGGAGUCCAAUGACCAUUAGGAGGAGUGACCCUCCACCUCGACGGGCAAGAGAUCACAUUUCAACCCCCAAACACUGUCGACGUGGAAGAUCGGCCGUGUGUGUGUGUGUGUGUGUGUGUGUAAGUAAUGGGGAUUUCUGCAGCUGGAUCCAAAAGGGCUCAAUACUAAUAUUUAUUUUAUUAUUCAUUACGUUCUUUUACUUUCCAAUUUUUAAGCAUGAGAAUUGAUAUUUGCCCUUGAAAUGUGAGGGAGCCUGGGAACCCUGUUUCUUUUAUCCUUGUCCAUUCUGUUAUUUUCUAUUGCUGAUGUAAAAAAUCACUACAAACUCAAUGGCUUAAACAAUGCGAAUUUGUUAUUAUGCAUCUCUGACUGUCACAGGGCAAGGCAAGGUGUGGGCAGGUCCGUGCUCCUGAGUGGAGGUGUUGGGUGGUUUUCUCUUUGCCUUUCGGGCCUCCAGAGGCUGCCCACGCUCCUUGGCGGGUGGCACCUCCCUCAUUGCCAGAGCCAGCCAGGCUACGUCUUCUGGUUCCUCCCUGGUCACCUCUUCCUUGCCUCUGAGCUCCAUAGGAACAGGCUCAGAUAAGGACCCUGACUCAGUUGUCCCAGCCAGACACCUAGGCCAACCCCAUGCCAAAGCCCUACCCUUGGCCCGUUGGCAGAUUUCCUUUGUGAGGAGAGGUUGGCACAUCCGUGGGCUCUGGAGCCUCCGAUGCACAUGUCUUUGGGGAACCCCUGUUCUGCUUCCCGCACACAGGAAGAUGACAAAAGUCAACAGCAAUAGCAGGUCCUGCCUCUUGUUUUAUCUGAUGCUCCUUUGUGUCCUUCCCAAAAGUGAGCGUGUGUGUACACAGCAGGCACUCAGCAUUUGUUGAGUGAAUCAAGGAUGAAGCUUGCCCAGGAGCAAUGAGUGUGGUGGGCGCUCGGCAAACAGCAGGUAAGUUGGUGAUACGCGUGUCACUGCGUCAGUGCUGCUAUAAGAGAAUGCCUGAGACUUGGUCAUUUAUAAAGGACAGAAAUGCACUCUCUCUUGCAGUUCUGGAGACUAGGAGUCCAAGACCAAGGCACUGGCACCUGGUGUGGGCCUCCUGAUGGCAUCUUCACCUGGCGGAAAGGAAGAGGGCAGGAGAGGCUGGAUGCUGUGUCCUCCCAUGGCAGAAGAGCAGAAGAGAGCCCACGUCCACAGCGGCCAUCAGUAGGGCAGAGCCAAGCAGCCUCAGCACCUCCCAUUAGCUGCCCCCGGCACUGUUGCGUUGGGAUUGUUUCCAACUGAAUUUGGAGGACACACUCAAGCCCCAGCAAUGAGUCACACGAAACUGUUCGUCAUCUGUAAUUCAGAGACACAUUCUGGCGGACGCAGGCUCUGGAUACCCCACUCACUCGCUCGUUUUCCACGUAUUCUGAGCUGCCCUGCUUCAGGCCCUCUGUUGCAGACUGUGACUACAACCACCAAGAAGGUGUGCCCCUCGGCCUCUCAGCCUUCACCAAUGUGGAGGGCAGGCAACCUGGUGCAAGAACAAGCACAGGCUCACAUCCUGGUGCCAUGACUUACCCGCUGCGCCCUGGGGUCCAACAAUUUAACCACCCCAAACUCCAUUCAUCCAUGUCACUGAGGUUAGCUGAACUUACCUUGAAAGUUCGCUAUGAAGAGUGAAUUAUUUCUUGCACAGGAAUGUUUACUGUAGUCUGUGGCCCAGAAGAAUUGGUACUUUGAAACUUCAAAAACUCCUUGUUAUUGGGUACCUUAAGAGGACUUGGUUCUAUUUGUGAUGAGGAAGCUUUGCCCUCUCUAGGGCUAGCGCCAAAUAGCAACAUGGACUUUGAGAAGGUAGUACCGCAGCCCUGCCUUCCCUCCCUGAUCCCAGUGCUCUUUUUUGGAGAACUUUAUUACUACCAACACAUUACAGUGUACCUGCCACCAUGAAUUAGUCUUCUAAAACCAUGAGCCCCAAAUUCGCUUUCCCUCCUGAGAGUUGUUCUUGGUAUCUUGGUCACAGAGGUGAAGAGCAGGCGCUGUCUAGUUAUUGUGCCUGGAUGUCACAUAAGCCACACGACAGCCCUGGUGGGAUUAGGAGCUGCUCUAGGAACCAUUUCCCAGGUGAUGCAAUGCCGGCAAGAGGGCUAACCAGGCUCCUAACCCAGGUGGCUGUCUCCAGUGUGUACACCUGGCCCUGCCCCCUCCUGGCUCGUUGACCUUAUCCUCUGAAGCUUGGAGACCACAUUGGAAGGUGACAACAGCGAGAAGCUUCUCCUGGGGUAGUGGAGGACGACAGGGAAGCCAUGGACACAGCUCCUGGGACGAGGUGAGAAGUCAUAGCACAUAGGCAUCUGCCAACAUCCCCAUUAUUGUCAUCAUGGUCAUUACCACGGUGGUCACUGCCAUGUUUUGGAAAUGAAUCCCAAACGGCAGGACAGGUAACAGAGGGAAUUUUGUUGCUGUUGCUGCAUUAUUAAGAAAGAGUUCGCUGGUCUUAGAUUUUUGAAGCUGGAAAAAUCUCAGACACUUUAUAAGUCCCUGUGAUCUCAUAGAAAUCUGCACGACUGGAAUCAAUGUGUGAAAAGAGCAGAGUUUGUUUUUACCCCAGUUGAAAAUGUGCAAUGACAUAAUGUAACCCUUUAAGAUAACAGGAGCCAGCUGCCCCAUUCAUAUUUAAAUAUGAGUCACCUUCCAGGGAGACUUGCAAGAUUCUAUGUGCCAAGCUGGAAAAGUAAAAAUUGCCAGCAAGGAGGGAAAGAAUAAAUUCACACUUGAAGGAUGUGUUGCAGAGCCGCCCCGCACAGCAGAUUCUGGGGGCAGAGAGAGGCACCCUGGUGGCCAGAGGAAGAACUGCGGAGCCACAGUGCCACAAUCCAUGCGGAGACCUUGAGGCACCUGGAGGGUCCCUUUCACUUGAUUAAAAAUAUUUUGUUUUCUGUAUAAAUGGCCCCUAUUUCCAGGCACGUGAUUGUUAGAAACACAACAUAGUAAUUUCUGAAUAACACCCCGAGCUGCUGAGACCUCAGUGUUUGGCCAGCCAUCUCCAGGGUCUCCCAGGACAGCAGAGCUCUCUUAGAAGAAAGAGUCAAUUCCAAGUCUCAUCAAUAGGGCCAGCAAAGGUAAGGCCUGAAAUUUCAAAUGAAUGCCUCUCUUUGUGUUUGCUGAGAAACUAUCACAACAAACAAAAAUAGACAUAUAUUAAUGCUUGGGAAUGAUAUUUUAAAAAGCUAGUUACAUAUGUUUAUUGAAUUGAUAUACUCAUAUUCAUGAGGCUUCAGGUUAGUGUCAAAGAAUGAUAGACUGCUAACUAGGGUCCCUGAUGGCCUGACCAGGUUUGCUAUUUGUCUGCCAUUGUGAAUUUCUACCUGAGAUAAUUCAGGAUCAGUGAUCAGUGGCUGAAUCAAAACCCAGAAUUCACUUUAAUGUUGGCAGUUUGGGUCAGGCUGUGGCAUAGAGAAAGCCAUGUUCCUGUAAAACAUCCUGCUCACCAGGAAUAGAAGCAGGUGCUACCCUAGGAAUAGAAGCAGAUUGUUAGAGGAGAUAAACCAGCAAGUAUGAAGGUGAACUUGAGUUUCGUCUUUCAAUAAAACCUAUUGGAGGAUAACUCAGCCAUAUGAAUUCUAGACUUUGACUUCUAAUUUGAAUUCUUCUAAUUUAACUACAUAAUUCAAGAUGUACAUAGGCAUUUGGCAGUGAGGGCAUUUAAAAUAGCAUUGUGUAUUUACUAUUGACAAUGAAAGAUUGUUAAUAAAAAAAAGUGUUGAGAAUUUAUCAUAUCAAUACAGUGAAAUAUUUUGUGCUGUUAGAAGGAUUGUUUAGAAUUAUAUUUAUGGAGACAUAAAGAUAUACCCUAUAUAUUGCAAAUAAUAUGGUUGGUUGGUCUGGUUUUGUCUUCUGUAAUCCCAUUUAACUAGAAUCCUUGUCAUUAGUUUCAAAAAAUUGAGAUGGGGUGCAGGAGGCACAUGCCUGUAAUCCCAGAGACAGGGGAGGGUUAGGCAGGAGGAUCAAAAGUUUAAGGCCAGUCUCAGCAAUUUAGUGAGGCUCUAAGCAACUUAGUGAGACCCUGUCUCAGAAAAACAAAAAUAAAAAGAAGCUUUGGAGAACCAAAUGACCCCCCAAGCCCUACCAGCCUCUGGUGCUAGGAAUUGAACAUAGGGCCUUGGGCAUGCUAGGCAAGCACUACCACUGAGCUAUAUCCCAUGUCCUUAAAAAUAAUUAUGAAACGUCUUUCCUAUGUGACCUCUUUCCAUUCCCAUUAAUUAUUAAAUUUAUUUUGGUGGAGUUUAUUUUCUUAGCUGUGUAAAAGUAAUAUUUAGCCAGGUGUGGUGACACACACUUGUAAUCCCAGCAGCUUAGGAGGCUGAAGCAGGAAGAUCACAAGUUCAAAGCCAGCCUCGGCAAUUUAGCGAGGCUCUAAGCAACUUAGUAAGACUUUAUCUCAAAAUAAAAAUAAAAAUUAAAAAAAUUUUCAAAAAGGCUAGAGGUGUGGCUUAGUGGUUAAGAGCAUUCCUGGGUCAAUCCCAGGUACAUUAAAAAAAGAAAGAAAGAAAGAAAAAGAAAAAAAAUUAUUAGAUUUCAUUAAAGAGAAACCAAAAUAUAAAGCUUAUUUUCUUAAUUCCAUAGCUACUUGCUCAUAAGAAAAGCCUACAGAAAUGAUCACCUGUGAGGAUAUUCCCACUGUAAUAACGUCCCCAUGAAGAUUGUGGUGUCCCUCAUCUUCCAGAGAGCCAGUUCAAGAUCUCUCAGUGUGAGCCCACUGCAUGGCCAGGGAAUAUAUUUUGCAGGAGUAAAGAGGCAUUCCUGGUGCUUAUCUGCCCUCUCUCCUCUUACCUCGGCAACUUCCAACAGUUACAAGAGAUUGUGAGGGUAGCAAAAUGAGUAUUCAAGAGGAGACGUUUUGCAGUUUCUGUGUGAAGUCUCGAGUGUGCCUGGUGUGGGGGCUACUGCAGCAAGACCAAACUCUGGUGAGUGUGAGGCUUGGGGAACGUGUUCUGCUUAGCGCGUAAUUUGCUGAAAGACAACUUGGGAUGGCAUCCUGGCAUUGAAGUUACCCGUGAUGUCACAUUUACAGGUAUGUACUUGUGUUUAGCUCAGGGAUCCUCAUGCUUGGCCCCUCUGACGUUUGGGGCUGAAUAAUUCCUCAUCGUGGGGGACUGGCCUGUGCACUGUGGGGUGUUUAGCAGCUGUGGCCUCCCUUCACUUGGACACCAGUAGAUUCUGUAUCCCCCACCUCCUGAAUUGCAAAUAGUGAAAAAUGUCUCCAAAAGUGCCCAAUGUCACCUGGGGUGGGGGUGGGGCAAAAGUGGACCAUUUGAGAACCUCCGUCUUAGAUUGAGAUAAGAAUUAUUUCAGAACAGCAAGAACAUGAAUGAUACGCUGUCUUCUUUCUGCCUAUUUUGUUCUAAGGUACACACGUUGACGUGUAUCACUUAUGUAUUAGAAAAAAACUCAAAAGACAAAACCAUCCCUAAUGAGCAAAUCAGCACCCCAAAAAGCAGAACUCACACUGCUGAAUUUCUCACCGUCUUUGGGGUAGUGCUGUGCAUCACAGUUUGUGGUGGCUUCAUGCACACUUAUCUUAGGGAGCCUUUAAAUCUAGCGAGGCAGGUGGCUUAGGGUAAUUGCAUUCCUUCUUUACAGAUAGAAAAGCUGAGCUCUACUACAAUGUCACCCUACACAGCCGAAGUCACACUGGAGCUCAGCCCUCUUGGCCCCUGAUCCUCCCUAUAGGAGUCCACAGCCUUUUCCCUGUGCACAAUCCUCGAGGCUCUGAGUUCUGUUUCCCCGGGGUUCACUUCCUGUGCUCAGGCAGACUUCAGUGGAGUAGGGAGCAGAGGGGCAGGGCACCUCCCUGCUGAAGGUGCAAGCCGCCGUGGGACCCCAGGUGGAGGACCACUUUCAUGCUUGGGUUCCCCUGUGCAGUCCCACCUCAUGUUGGAGUUCUCAAUGCACGAGGGGGCUGACGCGUGGCAGUCUGUGAGGUAGUCUCUAUUAAAUCGUUUGCAUAUUUAGCUUCUCUGUGUCCGGAAUUCGCAUCCAUCUUGCAAAAUUGUACUGGAGUUAAUUCACUUACUUGCCAGGGAGAAACCCUUCUGGGUUUCCCACUCUAGGGCAUUUCUGGGGGUCUCUCCUGUUUUCAUUGGUGCAUUUCCUCUGAUACAAUUAACACUAAUGGGGACCAGGCAUGUGUAUCGACAGACGCACGAGCCCAUGUGUUAGAAAUUGAAUCUCUCAGUCUAGGUGUGCCUUGGAUAAGGUACAGUAAUUAUUAUUAUCCAUUAAUACCAGAGUGCACAAAUAUCACUGGGAAGUAAAUAUUUAAUAUUUCACACUCAUUGCCUUCUUUUAGUUUUUAAUUUGCUAUUGUGCAUAACAAGCAAAUGGUACAUACCUUCUUUCUCCCCUCUUAAAAUUAAGCUCCUUUAAUUUUGCAGAGCAUCUAGUCGUUAAACACAAACUCUCUCAUUUUCUCACAUUGGAUAUUGAACAUUCCAGCUAUCUGCAGAGAAGUCGGCCUGUAGAUAGAGGUGGGUGUGAGAAAUCUUGUCUUAGACUUUCAUUUUAAUUUUAAGAGCAUUACUGCCCGCCCCAGUGACUGCACUUUUAAUUUAACCUACUGUGCUCACUUUCUUAGGUUUCAAAACUGACAAGUGAACCGGGAGGAGGGAGGCGUUAUGUCGUGUUGGACUUGGCACAACUCCUUCCAAAGCAACAUCGCCCGUCUUUGUACCCUGGAACAGAGCACAAAGAGGGAGACCGGCACAUAAUUUGGCUCUGCAAAUAAUUUUUGAAUUAAUCAAAUCAGUCUGUGCCUCCUAACUCCUGCACUCCGCUCUUGGCUCCCCAGUCUGUUGGUCUGGCAUCCUCUCCUGUUCUGUCCUUGGUGUGACCUUCAAAUCUGACCAUUUGUCUUCAGGUUUGUGGCUCUCUGCUCUGUGUUAUUGAAGCCUGUGAGGCUCCGGCUAUGUCUCUGCUUGCCAUCCAUGACAUUAAUCCCCAACGCUAACAGAGGGCUCCCAGAAUCCCUGUUUGUGUUUGCUUAGAUUCAGGAUUGUAAAUGCAACUGUGUCCAAG
rnacentral:lncRNA from 1 species